rnacentral:rRNA from 1 species
CCUACGGGGGGCAGCAGUGAGGAAUAUUGGUCAAUGGGCGCGAGCCUGAACCAGCCAAGUCGCGUGAAGGAUGACUGCCCUACGGGUUGUAAACUUCUUUUAUAAAGGAAUAAAGUGAGGCACGUGUACCUUUUUGUAUGUACUUUAUGAAUAAGGAUCGGCUAACUCCGGUCCAACAGCCGCGGUAAUACGGGGGAUCCGAAGGUUAUCCGGGUUUAUUGGGUUUAAAGGGGGCGUAGAUGGGUGGUUAAGUCAGUUGGGAAAGUUGGCGGGUCAAACGUAAAAUUGCAAUUGGUACUGGCAGUCUUUAGUACAGUUGAGGUAGGCGGAAUUCGUGGUGUAGCGGUGAAAUGCUUAGA